AAAAUAAAGAACGUAGCGAAAUGCGAUACUUGGUGUGAAUUGCAGAAUCCCGUGAACCAUCGAGUCUUUGAACGCAAGUUGCGCCCGAAGCCAUUAGGCCGAGGGCACGCCUGCCUGGGUGUCACACAUCGUUUCCCCAACGCAAACAUGUAACAAUGUUGCUGCGCGGGGUGUAUGCUGACCUCCCGCGAGCACCCGCCUCGUGGUUGGUUGAAAUCUGGGUUCAUGGCCGACUUCGCCGUGAUAAAAUGGUGGAUGAGCCACGCUCGAGACCAAUCACGUGCGAGCCGGUCAGUUCUGGACCCAUCGACGACCCUUUGCGUGCACGCACGCUCCCAACGAGACCUCAGGUCAGGCGGGGCUACCCGCUGAGUUUAAGCAUAUCAAUAAGCGGAGAAAGACCCGGUUUCCCCGAAUUGCCUG
rnacentral:rRNA from 1 species